AUUUGAGCAAACAAGUAUCCAUGUUAAUAGCCAUUUCCCAUGUUAGGAAGUUUCUAUAAUAGUGAUGUUUACUGAUUUCUCUUCUGAAGUAAUCCAGUCCUUUCAUUUUAUUUUUCUAGGUGGAGACGGUACCUGCUCUGCGGCAAGACUUUGCAGCCAAGAAUGGUGACAUCUCAGGGCCAGAUGGAGAAGUGGGGAACAGAGCCCGAUUUGUAGUUCAGAAGAUGCAAUCUUGAACUGGAAAUGGGGAGAGAGAAGUUUGCUCCUUGAUGCUCAAGCAAUUUUUUGAAACUUUUGGUUUUCUUUCUUCAGUGACUAAGAUGCUGAAGCAAUCCAUGGGACAAAAUACCAGAACUGAUUGUUACUUUCUUCUGGUCAGUCCAUAAACCAGAUGGUAUUUCCUACUGCAUGGGGACAGCAGCUAGAAGAUAAAGCAGAAAGAAAACAGAUCAUGUUGUAUUUUCUGUUGUUGAAAUAAUAUCAACCAGGUAGGGCCUGCUGGCUACAGGAAGUGCAAGGACAGAAGGUCCAGUGACACUGAAUGGUACAAAGCCAACAUGAAAAAUCAUCAACCCUUUCCCAUUGGAUUCAGUGGGAUUACUCAAGGAAUUUGGAUACUACCUGGUGGGACCAAAGUGGCAGCAAGACUAGCCUUAAUAAUUGUAGCAGCUGUAACACAACAUGCCUUUGUUUUUACCUUACCUUUUAGCUAGUUAAAAAUAUGUUGCAUGACACUUGUUUUCUUUUGAGGAUUCCUUUUUCAAAAAGAUGAAAUUUUAUCUUGGAAAUGUAUUCUGUCAUUUUUCGUCAUCAAUACCUCAAUAUAUUUAUUGUCAUAGUGUGAAGUUGUGAAGACUUCUUUGCUGAGAUAUGCUUCAGAUUUUGUCUCUCUCUCUUUUUUGUUUUAAAAAACUGUGUUAUAGGAAAAAUAAAAUAAUUUUAUUCUGAACUCUCCUUGAAAUC
rnacentral:lncRNA from 1 species